UCACCUCUGUUAAUUGCUCUGUUUUUUUCUCCUCUGUUUCUUCCUCUGUUUUUUUUUUUCUCUGUUUGGACCAGUGAGGCAUUGGUUGUUUUGCUCCUAUUUUUCUGUUCAAUAAUUGUUUAAAUUUUGUUACACAGUUAUAAACAGUAGGUUCAAAUUCAAUGGAAUUUCUAGACUUUUAGUAUCUACUAUCUACUUUUAAUUUUUGAAUUGAAAUAUUUGCUAAUAUGUUAUUACUAGUGAGAUUUUGAUUAUUUACAUAUGCAAUUAAAUAUUUUAAUUUUUUGGUAUUUAUUGGCGCUGCACUUCGAAAAGGCGAGCGCCUCGCCGCGCGCCGCGCCUUAAGGCGAGGCAGGCCCUUGUCGCCUUUAGUCGCCGCGCGCCGUCCAAAACACUGCAUGUCAUG